UUCGGGAUGCCGGCGAGUGGCGAACGGGUGAGUAACACGUGGAAACCUGUCUGUGGGUGGGGGACAACAGCUGGAAACGGCUGCUAAUACCGCAUACGCCCUACGGGGGAAAGAUUUAUUGCCCACAGAGGGGUCCGCGUCAGAUUAGCUAGUUGGUGGGGUAAAGGCCUACCAAGGCGACGAUCUGUAGCUGGUCUGAGAGGAUGGUCAGCCACACUGGGACUGAGACACGGCCCAGACUCCUACGGGAGGCAGCAGUGGGGAAUAUUGCGCAAUGGGGGAAACCCUGACGCAGCGAUGCCGCGAGGGUGAAGAAGGCCUUCGGGUUGUAAAGCCCUUUCAGUGGGGAAGAUAGUGACGGUACCCACAGAAGAAGCUCCGGCUAACUCCGUGCCAGCAGCCGCGGUAAUACGGAGGGGGCGAGCGUUGUUCGGAAUUACUGGGCGUAAAGGGCGCGUAGGCGGUUUGUCGAG
rnacentral:rRNA from 1 species